rnacentral:rRNA from 1 species
AUUGAACGCUGGCGGCAGGCCUAACACAUGCAAGUCGAGCGGAUGAAGGGAGCUUGCUCCUGGAUUCAGCGGCGGACGGGUGAGUAAUGCCUAGGAAUCUGCCUGGUAGUGGGGGAUAACGUCCGGAAACGGGCGCUAAUACCGCAUACGUCCUGCGGGAGAAAGUGGGGGAUCUUCGGACCUCACGCUAUCAGAUGAGCCUAGGUGGGAGUAGCUAGUUGGUGGGGUAAAGGCCUACCAAGGCGACGAUUCGUAACUGGUCUGAGAGGAUGAUCGGUCACACUGGAACUGAGACGCGGUCCAGACUACUACGGGAGGCAGCAGUGGGGAAUAUUGGACAAUGGGCGAAAGCCUGAUCCAGCCAUGCCGCGUGUGUGAAGAAGGUCUUCGGAUUGUAAAGCACUUUAAGUUGGGAGGAAGGGCAGUAAGUUAAUACCUUGCUGUUUUGACGUUACCAACAGAAUAAGCACCGGCUAACUUCGUG